AAGGCAGUUUAGGAUGUAGCAGCCACAAGGACUCAACUCUCGAUAGCUAAUGAUCGAAUUGGGGAAUUAGAAGAUCGACUGAAAUCUUACGAGGAGAAGAUAGCUGAACUGCAACAAGAGCUUGAGGAUUCCCGAGCUAACCGAGCUACCAACUUGGCUCGGUUUUCUGAUGAGAUAAGGGCCAAGGAAGACGAGGCUUUGGCGAAGGAAGCCAGUGCCUACGUACGACCACAACGAUCUUCUGACCGAACUGACGAAGUGCUACCCAGAAGAGGACUUUUCCUAGAUGGAGAAGCUCGCCCCAGAAUUCGAGGCCGAUAGUGAUGAGGAGCGAGAGAGAGGAGAGGAAG
rnacentral:misc_RNA from 1 species